AACGCUGGCGGCGUGCCUAACACAUGCAAGUCGAGCGCGAAUGGAGCAAUCCUAGUAGAGCGGCGCACGGGUGCGUAACACGUGGAUAAUCUGCCUGGGAGAUCGGAAUAACCUGCCGAAAGGCAAGCUAAUACCGGAUAAGCCCACAGGGACUUAGGUCCUCGAGGGAAAAGGUGGCCUCUGUAUACAAGCUAUCACUUCCAGAUGAGUCCGCGGCCCAUCAGCUAGUUGGCGGGGUAAUGGCCCACCAAGGCAACGACGGGUAGCUGGUCUGAGAGGACGAUCAGCCACACUGGAACUGAGACACGGUCCAGACUCCUACGGGAGGCAGCAGUGGGGAAUUUUGCACAAUGGGCGCAAGCCUGAUGCAGCAACGCCGCGUGUGUGAUGAAGGUCUUCGGAUUGUAAAGCACUUUCGACCGGGACGAAAACCCGUAGGCUAACAUCCAACGGCUUGACGGUACCGGGAGAAGAAGCACCGGCUAACUCUGUGCCAGCAGCCGCGGUAAUACAGAGGGUGCAAGCGUUGUUCGGAAUUAUUGGGCGUAAAGCGCGUGUAGGCGGCCAUGCAAGUCGGGUGUGAAAGC
rnacentral:rRNA from 1 species